rnacentral:lncRNA from 1 species
UGAAACUUCAAUCGUGGCGUCUGUUCACUUGUUUUGAAAGCAGUCAACAGAUCUUUGCUGAAAACAUCCUGCGGUUCUGGGAUGACUCACAGAAGCACAGGAGGCAGUUGGUCUCUGCUGUCAGGGGCUGAAAGUCGUGUCAGAAGAUACACACACACACACACACAAAAUCCAACAAUCCAUUGCUCACGUAAUCCCCAAGUGCAGGGUGCUGCAGGAAGGAACCUAGGAGUCUCAAGAAUGAAGACUGCAGAGAUCUUCAUGGUGGGCUUCAUGCAGGAGGGAGAAGGGACCCUCACUGUGCCUGGUAAAGGGGCAGGACUCCUCGGAGAGAGGAAGAGAGAAGUCAUUCCAGGCAGGAGGAGGGCGAUGGUCAGGCAUAAGAGCUGCCUCACAAAAUUCCUGAAAACGUAACAGCUGGCUCUUGUGAUCUGCAGGAACCCACUCCAGCACGUCACCGCAACGAGUGGGCCCACCAGGGCAUCUUGUCGCCAAGCUGGAAAGCAAGUGUAUGGGAGAGCAUGUGAAUGUGAGCCAUACUCCAGAAGAAAUGUCAGACGGGCUGAGAGUAAGGAGGUCCAGGGUCGUGAUGCAGUGAGCACAAAGGACAAGACGGAAGGAACGGAGAGCCAGCAGAAGAGUACCCCAGGGGUUCAAACCAAGCAAUGAAAAGUGUAACAUCGAAGGGGAAAGAAGGGUCUUGAAGAAUGGAUUCAUGGCCCCUUCUGUUUGUACUUUUAAAAAAAUCUGUAUUUAC